AUUGAACGCUGGCGGAAUGCUUUACACAUGCAAGUCGAGCGGCCGCACGGGGGCAACCCUGGUGGCGAGCGGCGAACGGGCGAGUAAUACAUAGGAACAUGCCCAGUCGAGGGGGAUAACACUUCGUAGGAAAUCCUAAUCCAGUAUCGGAUAAUAGGGUGAACCGGGUGGUUCAAAAGUCCAAGACGGUUUGGCGUGCCCGUAGUCAGAUUAGCUAGUUGGUGGGGUAAGGGCUUACCAAGGCAACGAUCUGUAGCUGGUCUGAGAGGAUGAUCAGCCACACUAGGACUGAGACACGGUCCAGACUCCUACGGGAGGCAGCAGUAGGGAAUUUUGGGCAAUGGGGGCAAGCCUGAUCCAGCCAUUCCGCGUGAGUGAAGAAGGCCUUCGGGUUGUAAAGCCCUUUCGGCAGGAACGAAACAGCGAGCUCUAACAUAGCUUGCUAUUGACGGUACCUGAAGAAGAAGCACCGGCUAACUACGUG
rnacentral:rRNA from 1 species